rnacentral:rRNA from 1 species
GUGGGGAAUCUUGCGCAAUGGGGGCAACCCUGACGCAGCGACGCCGCGUGGAGGACGAAGUCUUUCGGGAUGUAAACUCCUGUCAGUGGGGACGAUAAUGACGGUACCCACAGAGGAAGCACCGGCUAACUCCGUGCCAGCAGCCGCGGUAAGACGGAGGGUGCAAGCGUUGUUCGGAAUUACUGGGCGUAAAGCGUAUGUAGGCGGCAAGUUAAGUUCAAUGUUAAAGCCCACGGCUCAACCGAGGAGAUGCAUUGAAUACUGGCUAGCUAGAGGGUGUUAGAGGAAGACGGAAUUCCCAGUGUAGCGGUGAAAUGCGUAGAUAUUGGGAGGAACAUCGGUAGCGAAAGCGGUCUUCUGGGACAUACCUGACGCUGAGGUACGAAAGCGUGGGGAGCAAACGGGAUUAGAAACCCGUGUAGUCC